GGGGGGGGUCACUCUACUUGCCCUAGUUUCCUGAGUGUGUGUCGAACUCGCGGACAAUGAAAGAGACGAUUUUGACAGCGCUUUAUGUUGCACUUUCACUUGCAGCAGUAUUGUUGUUUAUUGCUUUCGGUUGGCUUAUUGUGUGGAAGCUGUUCUUUGAGAAAAUUCAAGUUUAUUCAAGAACUCAUGGGAAGCAGUAGUGAGGAAACCACAUCGAAAACAGUUAAAGCACCAAGAGCUCGACCCAGAAACAUCCGAAGGGAGUAAUGAGCAUUACAACAGGUAUACGAACUUUCUACUUUGAAGUUGCAAGAAGUCAAACAACAACAGGGUGAUACUACCAGUCCUAUAAUGGAAAGUGCUGUUGCUGCAGAUCAUUUUGAUAAUUCCCUUGUAUUGUCACUUAAAAACCGUUUGUACACACAAUGGUGUUCAGGAUAUUUGUAUAUUGUGUCAUGGUUACUUUCCCAGGAUAACAUUACAUCAGAAAUUGAAGAAGGCUGAAGUGAGAGGCCUCAUUAUAUUGCACAAGGUCAUUGUACUGUUUUGGUAGACAUGAAGUGGGUGUCACAGUUAAUUUAUUAAGUGUUUAUUACUGAC